AUUAUCGUGUUAAAAUAAUAUGUGUUUAAUUGCGACCGGACAUUGUGAAACAAAUCCAAAUAAAUCUUUUCACGUUGUUUUAUAAUUAUUGUUUGCUAAAAAUACAGAACAAGAAUACAUUUCAACAAGAAUAAUUAUUGUUUGUCUUUAAGCACGCACAUCCGUAUAGUACCUUCGUGUGUGGUCCUGGAUUUAUCAUUUUGUACUUUGAUUUAAAUAACGGUUUUCUGUCGAAGAAUUAUUGCUCUCGUGGUGAAAAUUACAAUUUAUAUGGAAAAAUAAAGAGGGGGGGGA